GGCAGAGUUAGCUGAAUGGUUAAAACCUUCCGACUACUGAUCAGAAGGCUGUAAGUUCAAAUCCCAGCACUGCCA